AGAUUGAACGCUGGCGGCAGGCCUAACACGUGCAAGUCGAGCGGUAGAGAGGUGCUUGCACCUCUUGAGAGCGGCGGACGGGUGAGUAAUGCCUAGGAAUCUGCCUAGUGGUGGGGGAUAACGUUCGGAAACGGACGCUAAUACCGCAUACGUCCUACGGGAGAAAGCGGGGACCUUCGGGCCUCGCGCCAUUAGAUGAGCCUAGGUCGGAUUAGCUAGUUGGUGAGGUAAUGGCUCACCAAGGCGACGAUCCGUAACUGGUCUGAGAGGAUGAUCAGUCACACUGGAACUGAGACACGGUCCAGACUACUACCGGGAGCAGCAGGUGGGAAAGUAUUGGAACAAGUGGGACGAAAAGCCGUUAGACGUCCAGACCCAUGCCGCGUGUGU
rnacentral:rRNA from 1 species